GCUCAGUGGGCUUGGAUGGUAGCGGCUUGAUCCUUCCACGAUCAUGUAUUCUGUCAGCUUUUCCUGUAAUGAUUUUGGAAUCCAUUAAUGAUUAUGGACUAGAGCGAUUCUUUUAUGGGGGUCAUAUUGUGUCCUUUCGUUGUGCAAGUCUUCCUUGAGCCAGUAAGUGCUAAUUAGCUAGUUUAACUCCAGAGGGAUCUUAGUUUGCUCACUUCCAAUCAAUAUCACUCCUAUGUACUAUUCAAUAAUUGACUAUAUUUACAUGAUAGUAACAUCCUUGCAGUUGUAGUGAUUAAAAUUUUUAUUUGAAUCUCUAGUUGAGUUUUACUGUGGCUUUGAAAAUAAAAACAGAAAUUGGAAAGCUCUCUUCAGUCAUGUUGAAGAAUGGCUGUAAGUACAGACUUUUGUAAAGGGCCAUUGCUUUGCCUUAUGAUUCCUCCUUCCUCCAGGACGGGGAAACUCUGAAGUCUAAUGGAGUCUCUUUGGUCCGAGAGAACUGGAGAGAAGUCAUCUGGAUGGACACUAAUGACACACAGUCAUUUGCAGAUGGUUAUCUUGACGAAUCAAAUUACAACCCAUCUGAGCGGAGCCCUUGCUUCUCAGGCAGACCUGGUGUCUCCAGCUGAUGAUUUGUCCCUGUCUGAAGGCGCCUCGGGACCCAGCUGUGUGGUCGCUGCACUAGGAAACACCUGGAGUCACAGUGUGAACACCCGACUGAUCCUCCAGUACCUUGAUUCAGAGAAAAGACAGAUUCUCAUUGCCAAGUCCCCCCUGGCUCCCGUCACCUCAUUUGUCUAUACCAUCGAGGCAGAAGGCCUGGUUCUUCAAGGGAAAACUUCCUUGUGCCUGUUGGUGUCGGGAGGCCUGGAGCUACACAGCGCGCCCAUGCUGUCUCACACGUCAGCUAUGCAAUAUGUGAGCAAUGGUGAGUCUUGCGGCAAAUGUGAGAGCCACUCACAUCACCAAAGACUACCAAUUUAUGUAAUCGUCUAACUAGAAAAACUACAAGAAGUCAGCUAACAAUAGUAUGCACAGAAGAAGUCUGGAAGGAAAUUUAUUCAGCACCAAUAAUUGUUGUUCCUGCAUGAGAUUAUGAGGUUAUUUGUAUUUUCUUCUUCAUACUCUUUAUAUUUUUCAAAUCUUUGAUAAAUGUCUAUUUCUACACCUGAAAUUUUGAAAACAUCAUUUUGAAAAAGUCUUCGCUGAACUGUUUAAGAGAAAAAACUCAGAGGUUGUUGGUGACAGCAACAAGGUAGGGGAAAGGGUUGGUGGUCUGAAGGAAUGGCCAUCGGAUUUAACCCUCUCCAUGUUGCUGGAACAAAAUGCCGGCACUCACAACUUAAAGGAGGAAAGGUGUAUUUUGGCGUAUGGGUUUUAGAGUCUUUAGUCCAUAGUUGGCUCCAACCAUAGUUGGUUUAGUCCAGUGGCUCCCAGGCAGGAAGGGCAUGUUGGAAAGGUCUGGUGGAGGAAAAGCUGCUCGGGUCUUGGUGGUCAGGAAGAGAUCUGAGAGAGAGGAGCAGAGGAGGGAGAUAUAUACACCAUUUCAGGUCGCAGUCCUGGUAACCUGCCUCUUCCUACCUGGCCCCACUUCCUGAAAGCACACUCACGUCUGUCAGUGGAUUAAUCCCUUAACAAGUGUUGCAUCCCUGUGACACAAUCACCUUCCCAAAGACCCAUUUCUGAAUACAUGAACUUUUGCGGGGCAGGGCUUGUUAGAUCUAAAGCAUAACAGCAUCCAAAGAGCUACAGUCUGUAAAGGAUAAAGGAGGAGUUUGGAAUUAGCGGCGGCAAGCAAGGAAGCCAGUUUCUCUGUCUUCAAACUUUGGGAUUUGUGUGGGCAGUAGUAGAAAAGCAACCCCAUUUUUGAGUGCUGUGGAAAAAUCCACAUCCUCAGGGCCAGUCGGGCUUUAGAUAAAGCCUGAAGAUGAACAGAACAUUCAAAGAAGACAAGGAUUUAGAGGAGUGCUAAAAAGCUCAAUGGGGUGGGUGAAUAUUGGGUCAGAAUCAGUAAUACCACCACCAUUGUUUAUGGCAUCCCCCCCUCGAUCACCCCUGCCACCUCCACUGGAAUGUAAAUCCCAUGAGGAUAAAUAUCUUUGUCUGUUUUGCUCAUGAACGUGUCUCAAGGACUGUAACAGUGCCUGGAACAUUGUAGAUGCUCAAUAAACAUUUUCAAAGUGAAUAAUUGUAACUAAUAUUUAUUGUGCACUAAUGUACCAAGGAUGUUACUAAGUGCUUUAUACGGCUUGGUUGUUCUUGUUUGUUUUUGUUUUGCAGUGCUAGCGGAUUGAACCUAGGGUCUCAUCCAUGCUAUGCAAGUGCUCUACCACCGAGCUACACGCCCAACCCUUACAUGUGUAAUUAUUUUACUGCCCCCAUUUUGUAGCGGAGGACAUUGAGGUCCAGCGACUUAGGUUAAGUAACUUUCCUAAGGUCCCAGGGCUAGCAAGAGAUAGAAUGAAAGGUGAAACACUCUCUAGCUUUGAUUUGAGUGUAAAGC
ensembl:lincRNA